CACAGCAGCGUAGUGUGACAGCUUUGUCUCCUAACAUCUUUGAUAUGGUUAUGGACAAAAGGCAAGUCAUAGGUUUUUACAGGUGGUUGUUCAGGUGUAGGAGCACAGUUGUAAACUGAGACUGCAAAGAGCUCAGAAUCAGAGAGAAUUACAGGCAGGGAACUGAAAACAGAAAGGAGAUAUGUAGUUGGAAAUAAGUAUUGUAGGAGAUCCCUAAAGAGAAGAACUUUGGUCAGGGAAGGUUGAAGGAACAGCUGUGUAAAAGAUGAGAAAACACAAGGAACUAGAAUUAAUGCUGGCAAGAAGUGCAAGCAUUGGCAGUAAAAAUUUUUGCCCAGUUGGAUAAGUAUAAACCAAGUGUCUUCACUGCAGAACUGAACUUUGAGACAGUAAGCUGAGUCUGGUUUUGCUGAAGGGCCUUCAAGGCUCUGUAGCUAGCACAUUUGUGCUCUGCUGCCGUGGCACUUGAGUUACAAAAACUGGAAGUUGAUUCCUGACCUAAAAUACGAUGUUUGUGCCCUUCAGUUUGUAAAGCUUUUUGAUAAAUACAUUGAGGGUCAUAUGGCUUUAAAUUUCAGUAGGACAGGGCAGAGGACAUAAGGCAUGAAAGGCCCUAUUGAGAAAUUCUUUGUGCUCCAACUGAUUUUGUAAAAUGAGAGACUUGUAGGGUGUAUAAAAGCUCUUUGAAAAAUUAAAUGUCAUCAGGUAGCCUGUGCUUAGGAGAAUUCUGACCUUUUCAGAAACAAAUCACUGCUAUUGUCAUAGCUGCAUCUAAACCUGCAUCUAAAAUACUCUUCAGGGAGAAAACUGUAUUAAGACUUCCUUAGCUAAUCAGCAAAAGAUGCCUCCCUGAGUUGCUGGGGGAAAGUAAUUGAAGCAGCGGGAUUAUUUCAGUUACAUGUUGCAAAGUACAUUCAGAAUUGUAUUGUUAAUGAAAGGGCAUGGAGACCUGUCGGACAAGUCCCUUACCUAGCUGCUCACCUUCUGUCAUCAAUUACAAAAAAACAAACAAAAAAAGUAGAAGAAUUAAAAGAAUUUACAGUGCCUUCUGGGCAAACCUCUUGGCAGACAGCUUGAAUCCUGAGUCUGACUUGUCAAAUUUGGCCAAGCUGUACAGAGACGAGCGGUUAAAACAGAAAGCAGAGUCACUGAAACUCGAGCACUGUGAGAAGCUCUCCAGUCUGAUUGGAAUGCACAAAGGGGGCUGACCAGAGCCUCUAUCCUUUUUAUUUAUUGCUGUUUUAAAUUAUGUUUUUAUUUUCCUCUGUAUAAAAAGGGAAGGAGUCUAUUGCAAAGUCUGAAUACUCGAUUCCUUCGUGCUGUGCAGAGAUGGGCCAACACGAGCUGUAGAGCUGUGUUUGCUUUAAUAUACUGUACACUAUAUUUGGUUCCAAGGACCAGUGGCACUUUGUAAAUUAAUUCUCUGGGAAAUGCUAUGAGUUUGAAACGUGUCUCUUCGGUAGUCUGUCUGCCAUCCAAACAGUGUGUACUUCCAGGAGAGCAGACAAGUGUCCUAUGCUUGCUGUACUUCCUAUGGACUGCCGUUCGCUCGGUCACAGCGUUGCUCUGUACUGGGUGCACUGACCUCGUCCUGCUGGCUGUCCCUGCCUCUGCUGUGCCGUGUGAGGAGAUGUGGGUGAAAGGCAGCGAGUCCCGCCGCACUCUGACCUUCAGUGCUUCAUUUUGAGUGGCUGCUUCACUGAGGAUCUGAGCACGCUGCCGUUGCUCUCACAGGGACCUGGCCGUGUCCGUGUGUGGGCGCAGAGGCCCUGCUGAGCCUGCGAGCUGAGAGCAGCGAUGCUGAAGCAGAUGGAAGUCAGACUGCAUCAGUUCCUAACUGCCCAACUGCGGGGAAGGGACAGCCAUGUUUACUUCAUCCUGUGUUUCCAGUGACGUAUUUCUAAGCUGGCUGUGUAAUUCUGAUUCUUAUUGGCAAACUUCUCCAGCUGUUAUAAGGGUCCUGCGUUUUCCGGUAUGGUUUUAAUGUAGCAUCUUUUUACUCUGUUGAACAGUUAUGAAUGUUUCACUGUAGAGACUAGCACUGCAAAGAAAGAGAUCCGUGUAGUCGCGUCUGUCUUGCCUUCAUCCUCCUUUACGCAGCCAGGCCUUUAAAAGCAGGCCUAGGACGGGCCGCGCUCUCCGUGUUGCACAGCGGGGCCGUUGCUAGGAGACGGGCCGGCCGCCAUUUGCCGCGGGGGUGCGGAAGAUGGCGGCGCCGCUCGGGGGGC
rnacentral:lncRNA from 1 species